rfam:Oscillatoria acuminata PCC 6304, complete genome.
GUAAACUACCCGCCACCCUGCUGAGUACAGCUAUGGUGGGGGCUUUUAAAGAAGCCUAGAGUUUACCCGACUAAGUACCUCGUGUACUACGUUUUGGAAGUCAUCACACCUACAGAUACGAAGCCAGUCUGUAGCACUGUGGUUAACGAUUAAACAGGCAUAUCGGGUCGAAGCCAGUGUCGUUAACGCGACAAACUUCUAAAACAUUGUCAAGGCUAACAUUAC